rnacentral:rRNA from 1 species
AGCGAACGCUGGCGGCAGGCCUAACACAUGCAAGUCGAACGGAUCCUUCGGGAUUAGUGGCGGACGGGUGAGUAACACGUGGUAACGUGCCCUUUGGUUCGGAACAACUCAGGGAAACUUGAGCUAAUACCGGAUGUGCCCUUCGGGGGAAAGAUUUAUCGCCAUUGGAGCGGCCCGCGUCUGAUUAGCUAGUUGGUGAGGUAACGGCCCACCAAGGCGACGAUCAGUAGCUGGUCUGAGAGGAUGAUCAGCCACACUGGGACUGAGACACGGCCCAGACUCCUACGGGAGGCAGCAGUGGGGAAUCUUGCGCAAUGGGCGAAAGCCUGACGCAGCCAUGCCGCGUGAAUGAUGAAGGUCUUAGGAUUGUAAAAUUCUUUCAGCGGGGACGAUAAUGACGGUACCCGCAGAAGAAGCUCCGGCUAACUUCGUG